UACACAUCGCAGUCGAGCGGUAGAGAGAAGCUUGCUUCUCUUGAGAGCGGCGGACGGGUGAGUAAUGCCUAGGAAUCUGCCUGGUAGUGGGGGAUAACGUUCGGAAACGGACGCUAAUACCGCAUACGUCCUACGGGAGAAAGCAGGGGACCUUCGGGCCUUGCGCUAUCAGAUGAGCCUAGGUCGGAUUAGCUAGUUGGUGAGGUAAUGGCUCACCAAGGCGACGAUCCGUAACUGGUCUGAGAGGAUGAUCAGUCACACUGGAACUGAGACACGGUCCAGACUACUACGGGAGGCAGCAGUGGGGAAUAUUGGACAAUGGGCGAAAGCCUGAUCCAGCCAUGCCGCGUGUGUGAAGAAGGUCUUCGGAUUGUAAAGCACUUUAAGUUGGGAGGAAGGGUUGUAGAUUAAUACUCUGCAAUUUUGACGUUACCGACAGAAUAAGCACCGGCUAACUCUGUGCCAGCAGCCGCGGUAAUACAGAGGGUGCAAGCGUUAAUCGGAAUUACUGGGCGUAAAGCGCGCGUAGGUGGUUUGUUAAGUUGGAUGUGAAAUCCCCGGGCUCAACCUGGGAACUGCAUUCAAAACUGACUGACUAGAGUGUGGUAGAGGGUGGUGGAAUUUCCUGUGUAGCGGUGAAAUGCGUAGAUAUAGGAAGGAACACCAGUGGCGAAGGCGACCACCUGGACCAACACUGACACUGAGGUGCGAAAGCGUGGGGAGCAAACAGGAUUAGAUACCCUGGUAGUCCACGCCGUAAACGAUGUCAACUAGCCGUUGGGAGCCUUGAGCUCUUAGUGGCGCAGCUAACGCAUUAAGUUGACCGCCUGGGGAGUACGGGCCGCAAGGUUAAAACUCAAAUGAAUUGACGGGGGCCCGCACAGCGGUGGAGCAUGUGUUUAUUUCGAAGCAACGCGAAGAACCUUACCAGGCCUUGACAUCCAAUGAACUUUCUAGAGAUAGAUUGGUGCCUUCGGGAACAUUGAGACAGUGCUGCAUGGCUGUCGUCAGCUCGUGUCGUGAGAUGUUGGGUUAAGUCCCGUAACGAGCGCAACCCUUGUCUUAGUUACAGCACGUUAUGGGGUCCUCUAAGGAGACUGCCGUGACAAACCGAAG
rnacentral:rRNA from 1 species